GCACAAUGGGAUAGCUUAGUCGGUAGCACAUGGGACUCUUAAUCUCAGCAAUGUGGGUUCAAGCCGCACAUUGGGCA